rnacentral:rRNA from 1 species
GAUGAACGCUAGCUACAGGCUUAACACAUGCAAGUCGAGGGGCAGCAUGGACAUAGCUUGCUAUGUUUGAUGGCGACCGGCGCACGGGUGCGUAACACGUAUCCAAUCUGCCCGUUACUCGGGGAUAGCCUUCUGAAAGGAAGAUUAAUACCCGAUGGCAUGUAUUUCCGGCAUCGGAGAUACAUUAAAGAUUUAUCGGUAACGGAUGAGGAUGCGUACGAUUAGCUUGUUGGCGGGGUAACGGCCCACCAAGGCAACGAUCGUUAGGGGUUCUGAGAGGAAGGUCCCCCACACAGGAACUGAGACACGGUCCAGACUCCUACGGGAGGCAGCAGUGAGGAAUAUUGGUCAAUGGUCGGAAGACUGAACCAGCCAAGUAGCGUGAAGGAUGACUGCCCUACGGGUUGUAAACUUCUUUUGUUUGGGAAUAAAAGACGCUACGUGUAGCGUUCUGCAUGUACCUUACGAAUAAGCAUCGGCUAAUUCCGUGCCAGCCGCCGCAGUAACAC